rnacentral:rRNA from 1 species
UACGGAGGGUGCAAGCGUUAUCCGGAUUCACUGGGUUUAAAGGGAGCGUAGGUGGGUUAGUAAGUCCGUGGUGAAAUCUCUGAGCUUAACUCGGAAACUGCCAUGGAUACUAUUAGUCUUGAAUAUUGUGGAGGUUAGCGGAAUAUGUCAUGUAGCGGUGAAAUGCUUAGAUAUGACAUAGAACACCAAUUGCGAAGGCAGCUGGCUACACAUAUAUUGACACUGAGGCUCGAAAGCGUGGGGAUCAAACAGG